rnacentral:rRNA from 2 species
CAACUUUCAGCAAUGGAUCUCUUGGCUCUCGCAUCGAUGAAGAACGCAGCGAAUCGCGAUAAGUAAUGUGAAUUGCAGAUUUUCCGUGAAUCAUCGAAUCUUUGAACGCAUCUUGCGCUCCUCGGUAUUCCGAAGAGCAUGCCUGUUUGAGCGUCGUC